GCUGAGAGGUGGUGCAUGGCCGUCGUCAGUUCGUACUGUGAAGCAUCCUGUUAAGUCAGGCAACGAGCGAGACCCACGCCCACAGUUGCCAGCGUACUCUCUGGAGUGACGGGUACACUGUGGGGACCGCCGCUGCUAAAGCGGAGGAAGGAAUGGGCAACGGUAGGUCAGUAUGCCCCGAAUAUCCCGGGCUACACGCGAGCUACAAUGGUUGGUACAAUGGGUAUCUACCCGAAAGGGGACGGGAAUCUCCUAAAACCAAUCUUAGUUCGGAUUGAGGGCUGCAACUCGCCCUCAUGAAGCUGGAAUCCGUAGUAAUCGCGUUUCAACAGAACGCGGUGAAUACGUCCCUGCUCCUU
rnacentral:rRNA from 1 species